UCUAGGCUAUUGAUGUGUUUGCUUGAAUAAUAGCUUGUUAUACUUUUAUGUCCGUUUUAGAAAUUUAGUUUCUGAUAAUACAUUUUACAAUUGUAAACUGUAUAAUCAGGGUGUGAAAUGAUCCGUUCCUAACAAAAACUUGAUAUUAAUUAACGUGAUAAAAUGUGAAGAGAUGUAAUUGCAAUCCAACUUCAACUCGCUAUCUACCAUUAACUUCGUUAUCAUUUUCGAGUGAAAGUUCUGUAAAGAAUUUUGUAAUUCGAUACGGCAAGAGAGAAUAUUUUAGAAAUACACAAUGUAAAACCAUCGUUGAUAAAUCAUUCUAUAUGCAGCGAAGACAGCUGACAUUUAGAAGUAUACAGGACCAAAACUGCAGAAGUGAUGGCCUCCUAAUCCCCGAAGACUUCUGAUAUACAACAUUUCAUCACUGCCAGAGAAGAAGCACUUUGUCCAGUCAAACCAGUGAUCAAAUGGAAGUUUUAACGCGAUUUAUAGGUGAUGUCUCGAGGACGAUGUUUUCCGCCCUUCAAUACGACAAACAAUCAAUAAAAUCCAUUAAAAUAUACACUAAAACACUA